GAUGAACGCCGGCGGCGUGCCUAAUACAUGCAAGUCGAGCGAAUGGAUUAAGAGCUUGCUCUUAUGAAGUUAGCGGCGGACGGGUGAGUAACACGUGGGUAACCUGCCCAUAAGACUGGGAUAACUCCGGGAAACCGGGGCUAAUACCGGAUAACAUUUUGAACCGCAUGGUUCGAAAUUGAAAGGCGGCUUCGGCUGUCACUUAUGGAUGGACCCGCGUCGCAUUAGCUAGUUGGUGAGGUAACGGCUCACCAAGGCAACGAUGCGUAGCCGACCUGAGAGGGUGAUCGGCCACCCUGGGACUGAGACACGGCCCAGACGCCUACGGGAGGCAGCAGUAGGGAAUCUUCCGCAAUGGACGAAAGUCUGACGGAGCAACGCCGCGUGAGUGAUGAAGGCUUUCGGGUCGUAAAACUCUGUUGUUAGGGAAGAACAAGUGCUAGUUGAAUAAGCUGGCACCUUGACGGUACCUAACCAGAAAGCCACGGCUAACUACGUGCCAGCAGCCGCAGUAA
rnacentral:rRNA from 1 species